GGCGGCGUAGCCAAGUGGUAAGGCAGUGGUCUGCAAAACCACAAUACACCGGUUCGAUUCCGGUCGCCGCCUCCA
rnacentral:tRNA from 1 species